UUCCAGACUCCUACGGGAGGCAGCAGUGAGGAAUAUUGGUCAAUGGACGAGAGUCUGAACCAGCCAAGUAGCGUGAAGGAUGACUGCCCUAUGGGUUGUAAACUUCUUUUAUAAAGGAAUAAAACGAGGCACGUGUGCCUUUUUGCAUGUACUUUAUGAAUAAGGAUCGGCUAACUCCGUGCCAGCAGCCGCGGUAAUACGGAGGAUGCGAGCGUUAUCCGGAUUUAUUGGGUUUAAAGGGUGCGUAGGCGGGACGUUAAGUCAGCGGUAAAAAUGCGGAGCUCAACUCCGUCGAGCCGUUGAAACUGCCGUUCUUGAGUGAGCGAGAAGUAUGCGGAAUGCGUGGUGUAGCGGUGAAAUGCAUAGAUAUCACGCAGAACUCCGAUUGCGAAGGCAGCAUACCGGCGCUCAACUGACGCUGAAGCACGAAGGCGUGGGUAUCGAACAGGAUUAGAUACCCCGGUACGA
rnacentral:rRNA from 1 species